GGGGGAUAUUGCGCAAUGGGGGCAACCCUGACGCAGCAACGCCGCGUGAAGGAUGAAGGUUUUCGGAUUGUAAACUUCUUUUAUUAAGGACGAAACUUGACGGUACUUAAUGAAUAAGCUCCGGCUAACUACGUGCCAGCAGCCGCGGUAAUACGUAGGGAGCAAGCGUUGUCCGGAUUUACUGGGUGUAAAGGGUGCGUAGGCGGCUUUGCAAGUCAGAUGUGAAAUCUAUGGGCUCAACCCAUAAACUGCAUUUGAAACUGUAGAGCUUGAGUGAAGUAGAGGCAGGCGGAAUUCCCCGUGUAGCGGUGAAAUGCGUAGAGAUGGGGAGGAACACCAGUGGCGAAGGCGGCCUGCUGGGCUUUAACUGACGCUGAGGCACGAAAGCGUGGGUAGCAAACAGGAUUAGAUACCCUGGUAGUCCACGCUGUAAACGAUGAUUACUAGGUGUGGGGGGUCUGACCCCUUCCGUGCCGGAGUUAACACAAUAAGUAAUCCACCUGGGGAGUACGGCCGCAAGGUUGAAACUCAAAGGAAUUGACGGGGGCCCGCACAAGCAGUGGAGUAUGUGGUUUAAUUCGAAGCAACGCGAAGAACCUUACCAGGUCUUGACAUUCAACUAACGAAGUAGAGAUACAUUAGGUGCCCUUCGGGGAAAGUUGAGACAGGUGGUGCAUGGUUGUCGUCAGCUCGUGUCGUGAGAUGUUGGGUUAAGUCCCGCAACGAGCGCAACCCUUGCUAUUAGUUGCUACGCAAGAGCACUCUAAUAGGACUGCCGUUGACAAAACGGAGGAAGGUGGGGACGACGUCAAAUCAUCAUGCCCCUUAUGACCUGGGCUACACACGUACUACAAUGGAUGUUAACAGAGGGAAGCAAGACAGCGAUGUGGAGCAAACCCCUAAAAACAUUCUCAGUUCAGAUUGCAGGCUGCAACCCGCCUGCAUGAAGAUGGAAUUGCUAGUAAUCGCGGAUCAGCAUGCCGCGGUGAAUACGUUCCCG
rnacentral:rRNA from 1 species